rnacentral:lncRNA from 1 species
UUUCUUUCAUGUGCUCUUUCCUGUCUCUGUUUUGGUACUCUGGUUUUCUUGGUCCUCAAAAACAUCAGUUUUUCUAUUUUAUCCGAUUACCAACUUCUUAGGGAUUCAUUUGUUCUUGAUUUCAACAACAUUCAAAAUAAGAUUCUUUGAUACCCUUUUUGAAUUUUUUUUUUUUAAGUUUUACUUAUAGAAUAUAUUGACCAUAAUUUAUGAACCUUGGAUACCCAAUUCUUAGAAAAGCUUCGUUUGUUGAAUUUUGAUUGUUUUUUAAUUAGUUGUCGUAAGUUAUGAAAUGGGUUGUUUCUGUUUUGAUUAAUAAUAGGCUGAUUUGUUGUGUUUUUUAUGUUCUUGGUUUGGUCUGGUUUGGUUAUAAAGGAAGCUGUGUUAUUGAUUAUUUGCUUUCUGAAGUGUUUUUUCAGUUUUUGUCUAACAACUUCAUUGAUUGGAAUUUGGUUUUCGGGUGGUGGGGAAAGAAGUCACCUUUUUUUGUUUUGGACAAGUGAGAGGUGAUGGUUUAUGUGAGUUUACUAUAAGCUUUCUUGUGUGUGUGUGUUUGUGUGUUUUUUUUUUUUUUUUUUUU